rnacentral:rRNA from 1 species
CAGAGCCGCGGUAAUACGAAGGGUGCAAGCGUUAAUCGGAAUUACUGGGCGUAAAGCGUGCGUAGGCGGUUUGUUAAGUCUGCUGUGAAAUCCCCGGGCUCAACCUGGGAAUGGCAGUGGAUACUGGCAAGCUAGAGUGUGUCAGAGGAUGGUGGAAUUCCCGGUGUAGCGGUGAAAUGCGUAGAGAUCGGGAGGAACAUCAGUGGCGAAGGCGGCCAUCUGGGACAACACUGACGCUGAGGCACGAAAGCGUGGGGAGCAAACAGGAUUAGAUACCCCAGUAGUCCCUGUCUCUUAUACA